rnacentral:rRNA from 1 species
UACGUAGGGGGCUAGCGUUGUUCGGAAUUACUGGGCGUAAAGGGCGCGCAGGCGGCUGCUCAAGUCAGGCGUGAAAGGCCUGGGCUCAACCCGGGAAUUGCGCUUGAGACUGGGCUGGCUUGAGUGCGGGAGAGGAUGGUGGAAUUCCCAGUGUAGAGGUGAAAUUCGUAGAUAUUGGGAAGAACACCGGUGGCGAAGGCGGCCAUCUGGACCGCAACUGACGCUGAGGCGCGAAAGCGUGGGGAGCAAACAGG